UCCAGUUCAAACCAAGCAGGAAACCAGGCAUACAAUUUGGAAGAUUGUCUAGACACACAUUGAAGUUAUUGACCUCUCCUGUUGAUUUCUUUAAAUUGUUUUUAACUGGUACAUUGCUAACAUCUCUCUGCUUGUCUACAAAUCAACAUGCUGCAUACCAUAUCAGGAAUGGUAGAUUUCAGUCAUAUGCUGGACCUACUGGAACUUGGGAAGUUGUUACAGAGCAGGAAAUGGAAAAGUUCAUUGGUAUAUUGAUAUACAUGUCCUUUAUGAAACUCAGUACUGUUGACCGCUACUGGAGUAGAGAUGUCCUGUACAGAUUCAACCCUGUUCCAUUGUGUAUGUCAUGCUUAAGAUUUAAGGCCAUCCUUUCAUUUCUACAGAUCACACCUUUACCUGAUGUUGACAAAGAUAAUAAACUAACAAGAGUAGAACCAAUCAUUGAACAUGUAAGAAAUAUUUCAAGGGAACUUUUUCAACCUUAUGAAAAGAUUGCUGUUGACGAAAGAAUUGUUAAGUCAAAACAUAAAUGGAGUGGAA